GGGGCUUUAGCCAAGCGGUAAGGCAAGGGACUGCAACUCCCUGAGCACCGGUUCAAAUCCGGUAGGCCCCUCCA
rnacentral:tRNA from 3 species